rnacentral:rRNA from 1 species
UAAGGAAUAUUGGUCAAUGGGCGCAAGCCUGAACCAGCCAUGCCGCGUGCAGGAAGACGGCCCUAUGGGUUGUAAACUGCUUUUGUCAGGGAAUAAACCUGUUUACGAGUAGACAGCUGAAGGUACCUGAAGAAUAAGCAUCGGCUAACUCCGUGCCAGCAGCCGCGGUAAUACGGAGGAUGCAAGCGUUAUCCGGAUUCAUUGGGGUUAAAGGGUGCGCAGGCGGAUUGGUAAGUCAGGGGUGAAAUCCCACAGCUCAACUGUGGAACUGCCCUUGAUACUAACAGUCUAGAGUAUAGUUGAAGUUGGCGGAAUGUGUCAUGUAGCGGUGAAAUGCUUAGAUAUGACACAGAACACCGAUCGCGAAGGCAGCUAGCUAAGCUAUAACUGACGCUCAUGCACGAAAGCGUGGGGAUCAAACA